rnacentral:tRNA from 1 species
AAUCCACUGCCUUGAUCCACUUGGCUACAUCCCGNCCC